rnacentral:rRNA from 1 species
UGGCCUACGUGAGGCAGCAGUGGGGAAUUUUGGACAAUGGGCGCAAGCCUGAUCCAGCCAUGCCGCGUGCAGGAUGAAGGCCUUCGGGUUGUAAACUGCUUUUGUACGGAACGAAAAGACUCCUUCUAAUAAAGGGGGUUCAUGACGGUACCGUAAGAAUAAGCACCGGCUAACUACGUGCCAGCAGCCGCGGUAAUACGUAGGGUGCGAGCGUUAAUCGGAAUUACUGGGCGUAAAGCGUGCGCAGGCGGUGAUGUAAGACAGAUGUGAAAUCCCCGGGCUCAACCUGGGAACUGCAUUUGUGACUGCAUCGCUGGAGUGCGGCAGAGGGGGAUGGAAUUCCGCGUGUAGCAGUGAAAUGCGUAGAUAUGCGGAGGAACACCGAUGGCGAAGGCAAUCCCCUGGGCCUGCACUGACGCUCAUGCACGAAAGCGUGGGGAGCAAACAGGAUUAGAUACCCGGGUAGUCGG